UGGUCAUUACCAAGGCUGCUGGGAUGUUGCUGUUUCUGGUGAGCUGUGGACAUGACCGUAAAGCAAGUCCAUCAGACUCUUGAAUUUGCCACACGAGGUGGCACUAAGUCUGCUGGGAAUAAAG
ensembl:snoRNA